rnacentral:rRNA from 1 species
AUACGUAGGUGGCAAGCGUUGUCCGGAAUUAUUGGGCGUAAAGGGCGCGUAGGCGGUUUCCUAAGUCAGAUGUGAAACCCCCGGGCUUAACCUGGGACCUGCAUUUGAAACUGGGAGACUAGAGUACAGGAGAGGUAAGUGGAAUUCCUAGUGUAGCGGUGAAAUGCGUAGAUAUUAGGAGGAACACCAGUGGCGAAGGCGACUUACUGGACUGUAACUGACGCUGAGGCGCGAAAGCGUGGGGAGCAAACAGGAUUAGAUACCCUGGUAGUCCACGCUGUAAACGAUGGAUACUAGGUGUGGGAGGUAUCGACCCCUUCCGUGCCGCAGUAAACGCAAUAAGUAUCCCGCCUGGGGAGUACGGCCGCAAGGUUGAA